rnacentral:ncRNA from 1 species
AACCGCACCUCAAGGUGAAAGAUAAAGAUGACAGGAAGUGCCGGUAGGUUUGGCAUACGCCAUUCUCGACAGCAGGGACUACAGGAAAAGCAGACAA